UAUUCAGAUUGGUGCCUGUCA
rnacentral:piRNA from 1 species